rnacentral:rRNA from 1 species
GAUGAACGCUGGCGGCGUGCCUAAUACAUGCAAGUCGAGCGAACGGACGAGAAGCUUGCUUUUCUGAUGUUAGCGGCGGACGGGUGAGUAACACGUGGAUAACCUACCUAUAAGACUGGGAUAACUUCGGGAAACCGGAGCUAAUACCGGAUAAUAUUUUGAACCGCAUGGUUCAAAAGUGAAAGACGGUCUUGCUGUCACUUAUAGAUGGAUCCGCGCUGCAUUAGCUAGUUGGUAAGGUAACGGCUUACCAAGGCAACGAUGCAUAGCCGACCUGAGAGGGGGAUAGGCCACACUGGAACUGAGACACGGUCCAGACUCCUACGGGAGGCAGCAGUAGGGAAUCGUCCGCGAUGGGCGAAAGCCUGACGGAGCAACGCCGCGUGAGUGAUGAAGGUCUUCGGAUCGUAAAACUCUGUUAUUAGGGAAGAACAGAUGUGUAAGUAACUGUGCACAGCUUGACGGUACCUAAUCAGAAAGCCACGGCUAACUACGUG